ensembl:snRNA LOC120098726 U1 spliceosomal RNA
AUACUUACCUGGCAGGGGAGAAAUGAUCAUGAGAGGGGUAGAUUUUCCAGUAGGGAAGCUUAUCCGUUGCACUCCAAUAUGCUGGCCCUUUUCAACUUCCCCAGAUGUGGGAGAGUCAACCACAUCACCUGUGGGAGUGGGGGACUGCAUCUCUGCUAUUUCCUA